rnacentral:rRNA from 1 species
GAUGAACGCUAGCGGCAGGCCUAAUACAUGCAAGUCGAGGGAGAAUGUUGGAUUCGUCUGACAUGAAACCGGCGCACGGGUGCGUAACACGUAUGCAACCUACCUUUAACUGGGGUAUAGCUCAGAGAAAUCUGAAUUAAUCCCCCAUAAGACUACGACAUGGCAUCAUGAUGUAGUUAAAGCUCCGGCGGUUAAGGAUGGGCAUGCGGUACAUUAGCUAGUUGGUGAGGUAAUGGCUCACCAAGGCUACGAUGUAUAGGGGGUCUGAGAGGAUGAUCCCCCACACUGGUACUGAGACACGGACCAGACUCCUACGGGAGGUAGCAGUAAGGAAUAUUGGUCAAUGGACGCAAGUCUGAACCAGCCAUGCCGCGUGGAGGAUGAAGGCCCUCUGGGUUGUAAACUUCUUUUCUUUGGGACGAAACCCCUGUUUCUACGGGGACUGACGGUACCAGAGGAAUAAGCACCGGCUAACUACGUGCCAGCCGCCGCAGUAA